UAUGACUGUUUUCCCACCCUCAUGGGUUUCUGAAACAUAUCACUUUCUCUUUGUGGUGUAAAUCCGACGCAUUCACAUGGUUGCAGGCACAAACAAUGAACAUAUGGUACUGUGUUAUUUCCCAUCUUGAUCCUACUAGCUUGCAUAUUGUUCAAACAAUCUCUCAUAAUGUACUCUCGCAUACUCGCGCAGUUCCAAUCAUUUAGCCAGUUUCAUUGAUCAAGCUCGUAGCUUAUGGUACAUGACGAUCUAUAUAAGAUGUGAAGUACGCGCAUUAUAUAAAGCGUUUGGCACAGCAUAAAGCUGCAUAUCAAGUGAAUAAUUGAUCUCGGGGGAGAGUGUAAAUCGUGCACUGAUUGCUAUACAUCACUCAAAAGGCUCCGAUCUGUUACGACUUACGACAUUCAAGUGCAUCAUGAAACCGGUACCGACGUGAUGUACGAUUGAUGUAUCAAUCUCCUGAUUAAUCAGUCUAGCUCUCAAGUCUUAAAUUUCAUUGUCGAAAAAGUACUAAAAUUUCAAUGCCUACUUCUAGACCAAAUUUUGUGGUGCUAUAAAUUUUUGCUUAGUGUUGAAAGAAAUCAGCUUUGUGUGCCUAAUCAAACUAGGAGUAGUUACAUGAUUGUAAUAGGAGAGAAUGUUCUAGAAUUCC